rnacentral:rRNA from 1 species
CAGCACCUCAAGUGGUCAGGAUGAUUAUUGGGCCUAAAGCAUCCGUAGCCGGUUCUGUAAGUUUUCGGUUAAAUCUGUAUGCUCAACAUACAGGCUGCCGGGAAUACUGCAGAGCUAGGGAGUGGGAGAGGUAGACGGUACUCGGUAGGAAGGGGUAAAAUCCUUUGAUCUAUUGAUGACCACCUGUGGCGAAGGCGGUCUACCAGAACACGUCCGACGGUGAGGGAUGAAAGCUGGGGGAGCAAACCGGAUUAGAUACCCGAGUAGUCC